GGGCCAUUAGCUCAGGUGGUUAGAGCGCACCCCUGAUAAGGGUGAGGUCCCUGAUUCAAGUCCAGGAUGGCCCA
rnacentral:tRNA from 1 species